rnacentral:rRNA from 1 species
GGGUUGUGAGGUUAAGCGACUAAGCGUACACGGUGGAUGCCCUGGCAGUCAGAGGCGAUGAAGGGCGUGCUAAUCUGCGAUAAGCGCCGGUAAGGUGAUAUGAACCGUUAUAACCGGCGAUACCCGAAUGGGGAAACCCAGUGUGACUCGUCACACUAUCAUUAACUGAAUCCAUAGGUUAAUGAGGCGAACCGGGGGAACUGAAACAUCUAAGUACCCCGAGGAAAAGAAAUCAACCGAGAUUCCCCCAGUAGCGGCGAGCGAACGGGGAGGAGCCCAGAGCCUGAAUCAGCAUGUGUGUUAGUGGAAGCGUCUGGAAAGGCGCGCGAUACAGGGUGACAGCCCCGUACACAAAAGCGCAUGUGCUGUGAGCUCGAUGAGUAGGGCGGGACACGUGGUAUCCUGUCUGAAUAUGGGGGGACCAUCCUCCAAGGCUAAAUACUCCUGACUGACCGAUAGUGAACCAGUACCGUGAGGGAAAGGCGAAAAGAACCCCGGCGAGGGGAGUGAAAAAGAACCUGAAACCGUGUACGUACAAGCAGUGGGAGCCCCACCACUAAGCCAGUGGUGAACUCCACAUACGCAUCCUUUGCUGAGGAUACGGUUAACGGAGCGAAAGCGACGUUCAACCUCAAAAGAAGCAGAGGGGGCUUAGUGGUGGGGUGACUGCGUACCUUUUGUAUAAUGGGUCAGCGACUUAUAUUCUGUAGCAAGGUUAACCGCAUAGGGGAGCCGGAGGGAAACCGAGUCUUAAUUGGGCGUUAAGUUGCAGGGUAUAGACCCGAAACCCGGUGAUCUAGCCAUGGGCAGGUUGAAGGUUGGGUAACACUAACUGGAGGACCGAACCGACUAAUGUUGAAAAAUUAGCGGAUGACCUGUGGCUGGGGGUGAAAGGCCAAUCAAACCGGGAGAUAGCUGGUUCUCCCCGAAAGCUAUUUAGGUAGCGCCUCGUGAAUUCAUCUCCGGGGGUAGAGCACUGUUUCGGCUAGGGGGCCAUCCCGGCUUACCAACCCGAUGCAAACUGCGAAUACCGGAGAAUGUUAUCACGGGAGACACACGGCGGGUGCUAACGUCCGUCGUGAAGAGGGAAACAACCCAGACCGCCAGCUAAGGUCCCAAAGUCAUGGUUAAGUGGGAAACGAUGUGGGAAGGCCCAGACAGCCAGGAUGUUGGCUUAGAAGCAGCCAUCAUUUAAAGAAAGCGUAAUAGCUCACUGGUCGAGUCGGCCUGCGCGGAAGAUGUAACGGGGCUAAACCAUGCACCGAAGCUGCGGCAGCGACGCUGAUGCGUUGUUGGGUAGGGGAGCGUUCUGUAAGCCUGUGAAGGUGUGCUGUGAGGCAUGCUGGAGGUAUCAGAAGUGCGAAUGCUGACAUAAGUAACGAUAAAGCGGGUGAAAAGCCCGCUCGCCGGAAGACCAAGGGUUCCUGUCCAACGUUAAUCGGGGCAGGGUGAGUCGACCCCUAAGGCGAGGCCGAAAGGCGUAGUCGAUGGGAAACGGGUUAAUAUUCCCGUACUUGGUGUUACUGCGAAGGGGGGACGGAGAAGGCUAUGUUGGCCGGGCGACGGUUGUCCCGGUUUAAGCGUGUAGGUGUGUGUUCCAGGUAAAUCCGGUUCACUUUAACACUGAGGCGUGACGACGAGGCACUACGGUGCUGAAGCAACAAAUGCCCUGCUUCCAGGAAAAGCCUCUAAGCAUCAGGUAACAUCAAAUCGUACCCCAAACCGACACAGGUGGUCAGGUAGAGAAUACCAAGGCGCUUGAGAGAACUCGGGUGAAGGAACUAGGCAAAAUGGUGCCGUAACUUCGGGAGAAGGCACGCUGACACGUAGGUGAAGUGAUUUACUCAUGGAGCUGAAGUCAGUCGAAGAUACCAGCUGGCUGCAACUGUUUAUUAAAAACACAGCACUGUGCAAACACGAAAGUGGACGUAUACGGUGUGACGCCUGCCCGGUGCCGGAAGGUUAAUUGAUGGGGUCAGCGCAAGCGAAGCUCCUGAUCGAAGCCCCGGUAAACGGCGGCCGUAACUAUAACGGUCCUAAGGUAGCGAAAUUCCUUGUCGGGUAAGUUCCGACCUGCACGAAUGGCGUAAUGAUGGCCAGGCUGUCUCCACCCGAGACUCAGUGAAAUUGAACUCGCUGUGAAGAUGCAGUGUACCCGCGGCAAGACGGAAAGACCCCGUGAACCUUUACUAUAGCUUGACACUGAACAUUGAGCCUUGAUGUGUAGGAUAGGUGGGAGGCUUUGAAGUGUGGACGCCAGUCUGCAUGGAGCCGACCUUGAAAUACCACCCUUUAAUGUUUGAUGUUCUAACGUGGACCCGUAAUCCGGGUUGCGGACAGUGUCUGGUGGGUAGUUUGACUGGGGCGGUCUCCUCCUAAAGAGUAACGGAGGAGCACGAAGGUUGGCUAAUCCUGGUCGGACAUCAGGAGGUUAGUGCAAUGGCAUAAGCCAGCUUGACUGCGAGCGUGACGGCGCGAGCAGGUGCGAAAGCAGGUCAUAGUGAUCCGGUGGUUCUGAAUGGAAGGGCCAUCGCUCAACGGAUAAAAGGUACUCCGGGGAUAACAGGCUGAUACCGCCCAAGAGUUCAUAUCGACGGCGGUGUUUGGCACCUCGAUGUCGGCUCAUCACAUCCUGGGGCUGAAGUAGGUCCCAAGGGUAUGGCUGUUCGCCAUUUAAAGUGGUACGCGAGCUGGGUUUAGAACGUCGUGAGACAGUUCGGUCCCUAUCUGCCGUGGGCGCUGGAGAACUGAGGGGGGCUGCUCCUAGUACGAGAGGACCGGAGUGGACGCAUCACUGGUGUUCGGGUUGUCAUGCCAAUGGCACUGCCCGGUAGCUAAAUGCGGAAGAGAUAAGUGCUGAAAGCAUCUAAGCACGAAACUUGCCCCGAGAUGAGUUCUCCCUGAGACUUAGAGUCUCCUGAAGGAACGUUGAAGACGACGACGUUGAUAGGCCGGGUGUGUAAGCGCAGCGAUGCGUUGAGCUAACCGGUACUAAUGAACCGUGAGGCUUAACCUUACAACGCCGAAG